rnacentral:rRNA from 1 species
AGUUGGGCACUCUAAGUUGACUGCCGGUGACAAACCGGAGGAAGGUGGGGAUGACGUCAAAUCAUCAUGCCCCUUAUGACCUGGGCUACACACGUACUACAAUGGCCGGUACAACGGGAAGCGAAGUCGCGAGAUGGAGCGAAUCCUUAGAAGCCGGUCUCAGUUCGGAUUGCAGGCUGCAACUCGCCUGCAUGAAGUCGGAAUUGCUAGUAAUCGCGGAUCAGCAUGCCGCGGUGAAUACGUUCCCGGGUCUUGUACACACCGCCCGUCACACCACGAGAGUUUACAACACCCGAAGUCGGUGGGGUAACCGCAAGGAGCCAGCCGCCGAAG